rnacentral:rRNA from 1 species
UACACUCCUACGGGAGGCAGCAGUGGGGAAUUUUGGACAAUGGGCGAAAGCCUGAUCCAGCAAUGCCGCGUGAGUGAAGAAGGCCUUCGGGUUGUAAAGCUCUUUUGUCAGGGAAGAAACGGUGAGAGCUAAUAUCUUUUGCUAAUGACGGUACCUGAAGAAUAAGCACCGGCUAACUACGUGCCAGCAGCCGCGGUAAUACGUAGGGUGCAAGCGUUAAUCGGAAUUACUGGGCGUAAAGCGUGCGCAGGCGGUUUUGUAAGUCUGAUGUGAAAUCCCCGGGCUCAACCUGGGAAUUGCAUUGGAGACUGCAAGGCUAGAAUCUGGCAGAGGGGGGUAGAAUUCCACGUGUAGCAGUGAAAGGCGUAGAUAUGUGGAGGAACACCGAUGGCGAAGGCAGCCCCCUGGGUCAAGAUUGACGCUCAUGCACGAAAGCGUGGGGAGCAAACAGGAUUAGAAACCCCAGUAGUCCCAUGAU